AUUGAACGCUGGCGGCAUGCCUUACACAUGCAAGUCGAACGGCAGCACGGGGGCAACCCUGGUGGCGAGUGGCGAACGGGUGAGUAAUACAUCGGAACGUGCCCAGUAGUGGGGGAUAGCUCGGCGAAAGCCGGAUUAAUACCGCAUACGACCUACGGGUGAAAGCGGGGAUCGCAAGACCUCGCGCUAUUGGAGCGGCCGAUGUCAGAUUAGGUUGUUGGUGGGGUAAAGGCCUACCAAGCCGACGAUCUGUAGCUGGUCUGAGAGGACGACCAGCCACACUGGGACUGAGACACGGCCCAGACUCCUACGGGAGGCAGCAGUGGGGAAUUUUGGACAAUGGGCGCAAGCCUGAUCCAGCCAUGCCGCGUGCGGGAAGAAGGCCUGGUGUAACG
rnacentral:rRNA from 1 species